rnacentral:lncRNA from 1 species
GGCCGACACCCCAAUAUCUUGAGGCUCAGGCACCCCAAUAUUGGGCACCCCAUUCCAUCAGGGCCCAGGCACCCCAAUAUCUUGGGGCCUGAGCACCCCAAUCCUUGGCAUCCCAGUUCAUCAAGGUCCAGGCACCCCAAUUUCUUGAGGCCCAGGCACCCCAAUAUUGGGCACCCCAAUCUCUUGGGGCCCGGGCACCCCCUUACUGGGCACCCCAGUUCCUCGGGGCCCGGGCACCCCAAUGGGCCCGGGCACCCCAAUAUUGAGCACCCCAAUCUCUUGGGGCCUGGGCACCCCAGUCUCUUGAGGCCCAGACACCCCAAUCCUGGGCACCUCAGGGCCCAGGCACCCCAAUCUCUUGGGACCCGGCCACCCCAAUACUGGGCACCCCAAUUUCUUGAGACUGGGGCACCCCAAUAUUGGGCACCCCAUUCCAUCAGGACCCAGGCACCCCAAUCUCUUGAGGCUGGGGCACCCCAAUCUCUUGGGACCCGGCCACCCCAAUACUGGGCACCCCAAUUUCUUGAGACUGGGGCACCCCAAUAUUGGGCACCCCAUUCCAUCAGGACCCAGGCACCCCAAUCUCUUGAGGCUGGGGCACCCCAAUCUCUUGGGGCCUGGGCAUCCCAGUUCCUUGGCCCCAGACACCCCAAUAUCUUGGGGCCUGAGCACCCCAAUACUGGGCACCCCAGUUCCUCAGGGCCCAGACACCCCAAUAUCUUGAGGCCCAGGCACCCCAAUCUCUUCGGGGCACCCCAAUUCCUCGGGGCCCAGACACCCCAGUACCAGGCACCCCAAUUUCUUGGGGCCCGGUCACCCCGAUCCCUCCAGGCCUGGGCACCCUGAUCCCGGGUACCCCAAUUUUGGGCACCCCAAACUUUCAGGGUCCCAGCACCCCCAUCUCUUGGGGGUCUGGGCACCCCAAUUUUGGGCACCCCAAUCCUUUGGGGGUCCUGGCACCCCAAUCCCUCGGGUCUGGGCACCCCAAAACCCAGAGCACCCCAAUCCCUUGGGACCCUGCACCCCAAUUCUUUGGGGGUCCAGCGCUGGGGCUGGGGGGGCAGGAAAAUGAUUUUUGAGGUAAAAAAUGGGGAUUUUGAGAAAAGGGAAUUUUUUUUUUUUAUUAUUCUUCCUAAGAAUGAAGGUUUCUGAGGGAAAAAGGGGCUGGUUCUGAGGGGGAAAAAAAAAAGGAGCUUUUGGUAAAAAGCAGGAGCUCUGAGAAAAAAAAAAAAAAAAAAUAAAAAGGUAAUUCGAAUUUUAAAAUCA